rnacentral:misc_RNA from 1 species
GAACGCACCUUGCGCCCUUUGGCUAUUCUGAAGGGCAUGCCUGUUUGAGUAUCAUGAACACCUCAACUCUCAUGGUCCGCCAUGAUGAGCUUGGACUAUGGGGGUCUUGCCGGCCUAGCGUCGGCUCCUCUCAAAUGGAUCAGCUUCCCAGUGUUUGGUGGCGUCACAGGUGUGAUAACUAUCUACGCUUGUGGUUUUCCACCAUUAACCUUCAGCAAUGGAGGUUCGCUGGAGCUUACAGAUGUCUUUCCUUGGGGAGGACAGCUUCUUGAAUGUCUGAUCUCAAAUCAGGUAGGACUACCCGCUGAACUUA